rnacentral:rRNA from 1 species
AUUGAACGCUGGCGGCAGGCCUAACACAUGCAAGUCGAGCGGAUGAAGGGAGCUUGCUCCUGGAUUCAGCGGCGGACGGGUGAGUAAUGCCUAGGAAUCUGCCUGGUAGUGGGGGAUAACGUCCGGAAACGGGCGCUAUUACCGCAAACGUCCUGAGGGAGAAGGGGGGGGAUCUUCGGACCUCACGCUAUCAGAUGAGCCUAGGUCGGAUUAGCUAGUUGGUGGGGUAAAGGCCUACCAAGGCGACGAUCCGUAACUGGUCUGAGAGGAUGAUCAGUCACACUGGAACUGAGACACGGUCCAGACUCCUACGGGAGGCAGCAGUGGGGAAUAUUGGACAAUGGGCGAAAGCCUGAUCCAGCCAUGCCGCGUGUGUGAAGAAGGUCUUCGGAUUGUAAAGCACUUUAAGUUGGGAGGAAGGGCAGUAAGUUAAUACCUUGCUGUUUUGACGUUACCAACAGAAUAAGCACCGGCUAACUUCGUG